AUCCUUAGUCUGGCCUUGAGAAGGCGAAUGGUUAGGUAUGGAUAUGGGUAGAAAAAUCGGUUCUUAUCAGUUUAAUAUCUGAUACGUUCUCUAUAUUAAUCAGAUUUUUAGAGCUGAGACCCGGAAAAGGGGCUUGCUACAUCCGCUCUGCGGAUUGGCCUGGUAUUGCAGUACUUCCAGGCUUGGUGCACCAUUU